AAAGCCCUAGAGGGCUUUUGGGACAGGGAAGGGUGGGUUCCUUACGUGAGUGCUGCUUGGCUUCCUUCAACCCUCUGCUGCUGCAGCUCCUGCGUGCCUUGCACACCCAGGGCCUCUCCUCUCUGCCUCUGGGCAGGCUUUGCUGCUUGUGCAGCGGUGCGUGGGGCAGCCAGGUCCCCAGGGAGCAGGCCAAAGGAGGCUCCAGCAGCAGCGAGCUCUGACCUCGGUGCCCUGAGCCUCUCGCAGUUUUGUCUGACUGGUGAUGGAGCAGGAGGUUUGUGUGCCAGGCAGCUGCCCAGCACCGGGAGCACCGUGGGACUCUGCAUCGCCCACCGGGGGCUUCCAGGUUCUUUACUCAGAGCAAGAGCUUUGCCUUGUGUACAGAAGGAGAAGGCAUCUCGGUUGCUUGCCGUGCAGCUUUUGGACACCUCAAGCAUGACGGUGCUGCAGCUUCCCCCAGCAGCGCUGGCAGCUCCUCGCCCCUCGCUGCAGCCGGUGCCACGGGCUUGGGAGCUGCUCCUGCCUCCCCCUGGGAAUCAGCGUCACCCGCAGGGGUGAUCUGCACGCUGGCUUGUCCAAGUCGUGCUCGCUUUGAGCCUGAGAUGCGUGCUUGUUAUCACUUGCCUGUCUCUAAUAAACUUAGAGGUGCUGAAAACCGAGCUGAGUGU
rnacentral:lncRNA from 1 species